UACAGACAAAAGAUAUUGAUUACUUGCUAAACAUUGAUGCGCAUCAAGCUGUAACUGCGCUAUACUCUCCCUAGAAGACCGACCUUUGCGAAAACCAAACUGAUUAUUAGGCAAAAGACAAUUUUGUUCUAUAAAGAACUCGAGACGUUGUUUUAGAAGCUGCUCAAAUAUCUUCCCAACACAAGACGUGAGAGCUAUAGGUCUAUAAGAGUCAGCAUUUAAAACUGCUUCUGUACACCUCUGAUUCCACCAAGGCGACCAAGGAUAUUUAAAAGAUUUUUGUGAACAAGAACUAGUAGCAUUAUUACUAUUAGAACUUUUGGAAAACAGACAGCUAGGGAUUGACUGCUUGGCAGCAGAAAGUAAAAUAUUACAAAAGGAAUUAAAAGCAUCUAUUGAAGAUAAAGUGUCAAAUUUAACAUCAUCCAAAUAAGAAACAACUAAGUUACUAUACAUAUUCCAAUUCACCUGCUUAUAAUUAGGGUGAGUGGGCAAAUGUAGAUUAUUACAUAAUGUGUUUUGCAAACUAAUACUAUCACUACUUACUGCCAUUUUUAUUAUUACAGGGAGAUGAUAACUACUGCCCAGAGGACUGUCAAUAACUGACCAGUCACAUAAAAGAGCCAAAGAUGGAGUUACCAAAGUCAAGUCAAGAGCAUUAGGACGCCAAGAUGGAGAUCCUAUUGUGGUAGCUUGACCAUUAUUCAGAAUAACAAGACCAUUCUCAUCUAUAACCUCUAAAACAUCUUUACCUCGAGGCAAUGUAUCAACACAUCCCCACAACAUGUGAUGAGCAUUGAAAUCACCUGCAAAUAUCAUUGGCUCUGGAAUGGACUUAAUUAUACUGUUUAAAUUGUUUUUAUUAAAUGGAGGAUUUGAAUUGGAAGGACUGUAAAAACUCACAAUACUCAGUUCUUUGUUAUUAAUUUUAAUUUUAAUGCAAACAUUUUGUAGAGCACUAUCAUAAUAUGUAUUUAUGUUAGAAAAUGUGAUAUUAUUAUGAAUAAAAAUUGCUACACCA